AUGAAGGCAAAUGAAGUCUCCCUUGCCUCCGCAUCAUCAAAUGAUGUCGUGCAUCAAUGGAGCUUGGUGUGGUGGAAAUCUCCGGAAAUGGAAAGGUUCUUCUUUCUAAGGUUUGUAGAGUCGUUGCAAAUUUCGGGACGCAACAUUUUUCCCAUGGAUGGCGUUCACAUCUGGUGGUAUUGGACAUUCUGACACACACAAAAACAACAUACAUACCUUAUUUAUUUCAGUCAUCUUUGACAUUGGUUGGGCUUGAAUUCAUCAUGGGCCAAAUUGUAGUUUCAUGAGUUUUUUAAUUGAUUGGACCUGACGUGGUUUAAAUUUCUUUAAGGUUGGCUGAAUACCUUUCAUGAGUUUUGACCCAAUGAGUUGAAACAUAAGAGCAACUCCACCAGUUGCCCCUUGCCAUGGCAAGAUUAGCCCUAGGGCAGCCACUAUUCACGUGAAUAGUGGCUGCCCUAGUGCCCUCCAACAAAAUGUGUUUCCAGCAGUUAGGGGCUUGCCAUGGCAAUUACUAUUCAUUUUUUUGUUUUUUUCACAAUUUUGUUUACUUAAAUAAUUAAUUUGGAUAAUAUUUUCGGAUAAGAUUUUUGGGUUCCUCCGUGUCAAUACUAUUCAUAUCGGAUAAGAUUUUCGGUUUCAAAUUUCAGAUAAAUUUCAGAUAAAUUUCAAAUUUCAGAUACAUUUCAAAAUUCAAAUUUCAGAUAAAUUCAAAAUGUCAAAUUUCAGAUACAUUUCGGAAUUCAAAUUUUAGAUAAAUUUGAAAUUUGAAAUUUCAUUUUAAUUUCAAAUUUCAGAUAAGAUUUUCACCCUCUAAGAUUGCGCCGCGUGUCAUAUCUAUAUGUGUACAUUUUUCUAUAAAAUCAGAGGUUCAGCUCAUACCUCCCACACCAAUUCUUCUCUACAUUUCCAUUUCUCAAAUUUUAGAUUUCAUUCUCCAUUCUCAAUGGCAGACAUGGAAGAGAUUUUGGAGAGGCAAGAGAGAGAAACUAGAGAGAGAAUGCGUAGACGAGCUGCAAGCAAAAGGGCGCAGAGAGAACUAGAUGAGCAACUUGGCAUAGCAGUUGCUUUGCUGGAGGAAGAAAACCAGGGUUGCCGUAGUUCACGAGAAGGCCGUCGCCCAAAUGUGGACAGACAUAGACAUUCUCGGGGUAAGAAUCUUAUGGAAGAUUAUUUUAUCCCACAAUCUCUGUACUCUGAUGUUCAUUUUCGAGGGAGAUAUAGAAUGCAACCUCAUUUGUUCAAAAAAAAUCAUGCAUGAUAUUUGCAAUUAUGAUGAAUAUUUUGUUCAAAAGAGAAAUUGUGUUGGAAAUUUGGGACUUCUUCCAGAGCAGAAGUUCACAGCUGUGAUACGAAUGUUGGCGUAUGGGUCAUCUGCUGAUCAGGUGGAUGAGAUUGCUUGGAUGGGGAAGUCCACUGUUUUGGAGAGCUUGGUGCGAUUUUGUGAUGCAGUGGAAACUCUGUACACCAGAGACUACCUCCGCAGACCUAAGCCCAGGGACCUGCAAAGGCUUCUCCAAAAAGCUGAGUCUCGAGGAUUCCCUGGCAUGAUUGGUAGCAUUGACUGCAUGCACCGGCAGUGGAAAAAUUGUCCAACAGCUUGGCAAGGGGACUACGGAAACAGAAAAGGGCAGAAAAGUAUCAUCCUGGAAGCAGUUGCUGGUUUUGAUACAUGGGUUUGGCACGCCUUCUUCGGAGUUGCCGGAUCUCAAAACGAUUUGAAUGUCCUAGGUCAAUCCCGGUGUUCAAUGAUGUUUUGAGAGGUGAAGCCCCAAAUAUCACAUAUGAAAUUAACAAUACCAUCUACCAGACCAGGUAUUAUCUAGCUGAUGGCAUAUACCCGAGGUGGACAACAUUUGUGAAAACAAUUCCACAUCCCCGAUCCCAUAAGCAAAAAUUUUUUGCUCGCUAUCAAGAGGGGGACAGAAAAGAUGUUGAGAGGUGUUUUGGUAUCCUCCAAGCUAGGUGGGCUAUUAUCAGGGGCGCGGCACGUCUAUUUGACGGGGAGGUGCUUAGGAGUAUAAUGAUGACUUGUAUCAUCCUCCACAACAUGAUUGUGGAAGAUGAAUAUGAUUACGAUGCUGAUGACGUGUAUGAACCAAAUCCCAUGGACACGGCCCUAACACGAAUUUAUGAAAAACCAGUGGGGCCAAAUGGAGAAGCAAUGCAGCAUGAACCGUUGGUUAGAGGCGGUAGUUUCAUGCCCCGUAUGAUUGAUCGCUACACGGAGAUGCAAUCGUCCUAUAUUCAUGAACACCGUCAAGUUGACUUGAUGGAGCAUUUAUGGGCGGUGAAAGGCAAUGAAGGAAAUGAAGGUGAAUAAAGUGAAGUGAAGAAGUUGUUUUUAUUUUAUUAUGCUUUGGUUGUGGGUUGUUUAUUUUUUAUGCUUUGGUUGUGGUUUGUUUUAUUUUAUUAUGCUUUGGUUGUGGGUUGUUUUUUUUUAUGCUUUGGUUGUGGUUUGUUUUAUUUUUUAUGCUUUGGUUGUGGUUUGUUUUAUUUUUUAUGCUUUGGUUGUGGUUUGUUUUUUAUGUAUGGAAUGUUUUGAAUAAAAAGGAUUUUUGUUGAAUAUUUUCUUUAUUGACUAAAAGAAAAGCAAUACAACUAAUAAAAUAAAAUACAUGAAUUAAACAAAACAAAAAAUACAAUGAAAUCAAAGGUACAUGAAUUAAACAAAAAAAAAAUACAAUGAAAUCAAAGGCAAGUAAACUAAGACAUUAAAGGCAAACAAACUAUUUUAAUGGUUUCCAUCAUUUAACCAAUCGGUGUUGCUAGGUCCAUCGUCACGAAAAAGUCUUCGUCUCAUAACAUCCCUUCGUUCUAGCUUCCAAAAUUGUUUUGUUUCGGGAGACAUAUGGCUUGUAUCCAUGGCCAUGGUUUCCCGAUCUUUUUUUUCAAUGUUUUGUUCGCGUGCAUACUCCCUUUCUUUGCGUGCAUACUCCCUUUCUUUUGCAUAUUCUGCUUGAACUGCCAUAUCGUGCUCUUGUUGUUUCAAGUCCAUUUCAAUUCUCAUGGCUUGGUGCUUUGAAAGUUCCUCCAAAAAUUGAGAUGCAUUCUUGCUAGAAUUACUCCCUCUCUUCGCCUUCGCCGCCUUCCUCCCAAUAGGCCUUGGAAUAUUUUCAAUGGGUGAGUCGGUACUCAUCGGAGAAUCCAUAGGUGAAUCCGAUGCCGGCGUCUCAUGAAGUGGAGUCUCGUUCAAGACUACCGUCGGACCGGUUGGAAUAAUUUGGAAUCUCUUACAAGUCUUCACCACCUCCCAACAAUGGGUAUGGUUGAAACUUUUUUUCCCUUGGCCGGUAGCACCAAACCACAUUUGUGCUUGUAUAAUCUAUAAAAAAAAAAUGAAAUGGAAAUACAAGAGAAUUUUUAAAAUAUUGGCAAUGCAACAUGUACAAAAAAAAACUAAUGGAAAUUAAAGAAAUAAUAAAAAAAAUGCAACAUGUAUUAACAAAAAAUAGAGACAUAUUAACAAAAUAUAUAAAUUGCAAGAAACAUUUAAAUAAAAAUUAAUAUGACAUAGAAAUUAAUAGAAGAAAAAUGACAAAUAAUUUACCUCAUUGCUAAGAUUUUCUCCGCUUAGUUGGUUGUCAAUCGCUUUUGCUAAAGCAUUUCUCCAUUUCCCCAACUCUUUAUUAAGAACUUUCCACCUACUGGAUAAUGCCAUUUCUGUACGUGUAGAACCAAUUGCCCUUUCACAAAAUGCUUGAUGAAUUUUUUUUCCACAUAUGAGAAAAUUUAAUCUCAUUGCCCGUUACUGGACAAUGACUAACUUGGACCCAAGCCUCACACAAGCUAACAUCUUCCAUCAUGCUCCAUGCCCCUCCAUUUUCAUUAGAAGAACCCAUAAUAUGCUAGAAAAAAAAUUACAACUUCAAAGUGAAAAAAUAUUGAAUAGAAAGUGAAAAAAAUUUGAGGAGAAAGUGAAUAAUAGUAGAAGGAGAAGAAAAUAUAUGAGGAUUACACAGUUGCCCGGGCUGGACUUUUGCUGCUGGAAUCGUUUUUUGCCCCAAACCCCACCCAGCCCGAGUCCAAAACCUGCUGCUGGACUUGCUCUAAUAGGAAUGAAACUUUAUUCCAAGUAUCAAAAUAGUCAAUGUUAGUCAGCGUGGUUUGCUUGGAUUUGACCCAGAUUCUUGGUUUUUCUGAACAGGAAAUAAGCCAGGUUUUGUAAAUUUGCAUUCCACGAUAUCCAAGCUGCCAAGGUGUGUUCACUCCUAUCAAGUUAGGUCAAGACCCUUUGUGUAA
rnacentral:lncRNA from 1 species